rnacentral:rRNA from 1 species
AUGUUGGGUUAAGUCCAGCAACGAGCGCAACCCUUGUUCCUAGUUGCCAGCAUUGAGUUGGGCACUCUAGGGAGACUGCCGGUGACAAACCGGAGGAAGGUGAGGAUGACGUCAAGUCAGCAUGCCCCUUACGCUCUGGGCUACACACGUGCUACAAUGGCGCGGACAAAGGGUCGCGAGCGCGCGAGCGUGAGCCAAUCCCAAAAACCGCGUCUCAGUUCAGAUCGCAGGCUGCAACUCGCCUGCGUGAAGGCGGAAUCGCUAGUAAUCGCAGAUCAGCAUGCUGCGGUGAAUACGUUCCCGGGCCUUGUACACACCGCCCGUCACACCAUGGGAGCUGGCCAUGCCCGAAGUCGGAGCACCCGCCGAAGGCAGGGCUGGUGACUGGGGUGAAGUCGUAACAAGGUAGCCGUACCGGAAGGUGCGGCUGGAUCACCUCCUUU